rnacentral:misc_RNA from 1 species
AAGACUAUAGACCUGCGGAGUACCUGCGGAGGGAUCAUUACCAAGAGAAAUCUUUCAACACUGAAAGAUCUUUUCCUUUGUGCUGGCUUUGACCGUAUGUAAUUUUGGGACUUUAAAAUGGUUCGCAAGGGCCGGUCCCAAAAACAAUAUAUCAUCCUUAUGAAAUUUUUUCUGAACAAUUAAACAAAUGAUUUUAAUAAUCUGUUUAAAACAACUUUCAACAACGGAUCUCUAGAUCGG